rnacentral:rRNA from 1 species
GCUGGGCGGCGUGCUUACACAUGCAAGNNNAACGAGAACGGNUACUAGCUUGCUAGUAUGUCAGCUAAGUGGCGGACGGGUGAGUAAUGUAUAGUUGAUCUGCCCCUUGGAGGGGGAUAGCCACUGGAAACGGUGAUUAAUACCCCAUAUUCCUCAUGGUGUAAAGGCCAUGAGGGAAAUGUUUUUUCGCCAAGGGAUGAGACUAUAUCGCAUCAGCUAGUUGGUAGGGUAACGGCCUACCAAGGCAAUGACGCGUAGCGGGUCUGAGAGGAUGAUCCGCCACACUGGUACUGAGACACGGACCAGACUCCUACGGGAGGCAGCAGUGAGGAAUAUUGCACAAUGGGGGAAACCCUGAUGCAGCAACGCCGCGUGGAGGAUGACGCAUUUCGGUGUGUAAACUCCUUUUAUCAGGGAAGAUAAUGACGGUACCUGAUGAAUAAGCACCGGCUAACUCCGUGCCAGCAGCCGCGGUAAUACGGGAGGGUGCAAGCGUCACUCGGAAUCACUGGGCGUAAANGACGCGUAGGCNGUUUGGGAAAGUCANAUGUG